rnacentral:rRNA from 1 species
CGGCAACAGCUCAAAUUUGAAACCUGGCGCAAGCCCGGAUUGUAAUUUGUAGAGGAUGCUUCUGGGCAGCGGCCGUUCUAAGUUCCUUGGAACAGGACGUCAUAGAGGGUGAGAAUCCCGUAUGUGACCGGCGCGCACCCUCCACGUAGCUCCUUCGACGAGUCGAGUUGUUUGGGAAUGCAGCUCUAAAUGGGUGGUAAAUUCCAUCUAAAGCUAAAUAUUGGCCAGAGACCGAUAGCGCACAAGUAGAGUGAUCGAAAGAUGAAAAGCACUUUGGAAAGAGAGUUAAAAAGCACGUGAAAUUGUUGAAAGGGAAGCGCUUACAACCAGACUCCGCGGCGGUGUUCCGCCGGUCUUCUGACCGGUCUACUCGCCGCCGUGGGGCCAACAUCGUCUGGGGCCGCCGGAUAAGACCGUAGGAAUGUAGCUCAUUGAGUGUUAUAGCCUGCGGUGAUGCGGCGCGCCCCGGGCGAGGUCCGCGCUUCGGCAAGGAUGUUGGCGUAAUGGUUGUCAGCGGCCCGUCUUGAAACACGGACCAAGGAGUCUAACAUCUAUGCGAGUGUUCGGGUGUCAAACCCCUACGCGUAAUGAAAGUGAACGGAGGUGGGGAAGCUUCGGCUGCACCAUCGACCGAUCCUGAUGUCCUCGGAUGGAUUUGAGUAAGAGCAUAGCUGUUGGGACCCGAAAGAUGGUGAACUAUGCCUGAAUAGGGUGAAGCCAGAGGAAACUCUGG